GGAUUGUAGCUCAGUGGUAGAGCAUUCGUCUAGCAUGCGGGGCCCUGGGUUAGAUCCUCAGCACCA
rnacentral:tRNA from 1 species